CAAAGAGGUCAAACAAACUUUUUUCAAGUUGUCAUUAUGGGGUAUCGUUUGUAGAGUUUUGAGGAAAAUAAUGAAUUUAAUCCAUUUUGGAAUAAGCCUGUAACAUAACAAAAUGUGGAAAAAGUGAAGCACUGUGAAUACUUUCCAGAUGCACCGCUGCUUGUAGAAAUGUCUAGUUCUAACCCCAACACCACUGGAGGUCCUACGACCCCGUCUGCAUCUGGGACAUCAGCUGCUUCAGACAAGCUUCUGAUAGUUCGUUCGGUCGAUCUCCUGAAAUCCAAGGAUGGGCAGAACCGGCUCGAGCAUCACACAGAUGCUUUCUUCAGCGACAAGCUGAUCGUCCGCAGAGGACAGACCUUCCAGAUGUGGGUCGAGUUCUCCAGACCCUUCAAUCCGAAAUCAGACAAACUGCAGCUGCUGCUUA